rnacentral:lncRNA from 1 species
GUCUCUAAUGACCUAUGAAAUGACGUGCAAUGCACGUGAAGAACUUGAGAACCACCUUCCAAAGGACAGGAAGGAUUUCAGACUAUGAAUAAUCAAAGACCACUCAAGCAUGAUUUUGAUUAAAAAUAUCUUAUAAAACCAUGCUAUAUGUGUUUAAGAAGUAAUAAUGUGUAUCUUGAUGAUUUUUGUAUUCCUUGUGAUUAUAAAUGUUUCAU